UUUCCUGAAAACAACAUCACAAAGUAGCGUUGUACAAACUCCACCACUUGAGCAGAAGCAUUGUACGCAUUCAGCGGUGGAGAUGCCGAGAGUCGCUGUGAUGACGCUCUGCUCAAACAGUGUAUCCUCUGGGUGAGCUUUGCAAUCUUCGUACGCACAUAGGCUGUAUUAAGUGUAAAUUAAAGAAAACAUGAACCCCCUAAUAACUUUGAAAAAUGGAGCUGUACAGAAAAAAAGAGGACUUGAGCACAAACCAGUCUUACAGUAACUACAUGUCAACAUUGCAAACAGCGGAGAGAAAAAUUUAUAUUCUGUGUAAUAAAUUUGUAAAGCUUGUCCACAGCUCCAUACAGAUUGCUGGUGGAGGAGGGAUUUAUGACCUAUACUGCAACCUGUCACCAGAGUGUGCCUUUUCCAGGUGGCUGCACCCAGCAAGGAGGCAGACGGCAUCCAUUCUAUAUACAGUCCAUGGUUCAAAUGUCAUGCCCAGAAAGAAAAAAAAACCCUGCGUGAUUACAGUUAUUCUGAGUAUUUAUACAGGAACAUAAAGAAGUUAGACAUGUUAUGGAUUGAGAUACAUUUAGUGUAGCAAUAAGAGCAAUGCCAGUUCUUUGAAAACGCUAUUAUCAAGGCUUUCCUCCAAAUAGCAGAAAAGACUUACUAGCAGUAUCAACAAGGACUCCAAGCAUUAAGGAAUCUUGACAUGGGUAUCAAAUCAGUAUCAGAUAAAAAUUAACCACCCAUCCAACCAUUUCUCUCUGUGUCUGUGCUUGCUUAUGUUGGAUUCAUUUCUGGUCUCUUAAAAUAACAGAAGCUGCAGGGUCUCCUUUUUUCAUUGCAAGGUGUCUUAGGGCUAUUUUUGUUGUGAGUUGGCCCUGUUUAAGCCCAAACCGACUAAUUGUUUGAUGAACAUGAAAACAAUGCAGGAACAAAUGCAUCCAGAAAUAAAGAAGGGCCCCACACCCCAGAAAAGCAGGAACCUUCCUCUGAUUUUCCAUUUUGGGUCAUUUCACAGCAUCAGUAAUUUUACUCACUCACUGUAAAAUCUUUUAACUGGGUGCAAGUUUGCCUGCUUUCAUGUGUCAGUCAGGACUACGAGCAGAGGCGGCGUAGUAAGCUGCUGUGUCUGUUUGCAGAGUCUGAUGCUGAUUAAUUGCAUCUGGAUAAAAGUGGAGGGUUUUCAUCUCCGUGGAGGCCUGUUCUAACCCUGAAUGUUUAUGCUCGCUUAUCAUCCUAACAGCCCGUCGUAAUUAGUUCAAUCAAAUACAAACACGAGUAAAUGCUAAUGUGCUCAGUGGAAGCCUGUUGCUUUCACGUGGGACUUUUCCCCGCUCCUCAGAUCUGCUCUACAGUCCUGGAUUAGAAUAAAAAGACUUCUGAAGUGGCUUUUGGAUGAGGCUUUUGUUUUUUCUUUUUCUUUGUUUCAUGUCGACUCCAGCUUUGCAGGUGUGCUUUGUCCCUAACCUCUUAAUACCUCAUGCUUGAGCAGCGUCUUCUGAUGUUAACUCUAAUUUUAAGGCGUAGGUUGAAACAAAGCAAGAUUUCAGGAUUAAGAGGGUUGCCCAAACAUGGAGUUUUAUGUCAGAGUUUGUCACUGGCUGCGUAAACGCUUAACCAUAGAGAAGAGAUUUUAGCCGUGUCAGCAAGUCUAAGAUCAAACACAAACUCUUUUUUUCCGUUUACCAUCAAAGAAAAAGUCAAAAUUGAGCCAUGGACUCAUAAAAAUUCUUUUGACUGAUUGUACAGUCAAAAUAAAAUACAACAGAGACGAUGACAGUUUUGCAUUUAUAUCAACGCAAACGGAUGGACGUGCAGAUUUCUCCUCUAUUCUUACCUUGAAAACGAUUCUCCCUCUUCAGUCACAGAUGUAGGGCCUGUGUCCACUGAGAGUGUUUUUUUGUGCUAGCAGAACCCAC
rnacentral:lncRNA from 1 species